rnacentral:rRNA from 1 species
AGUGGCGGACGGGUGAGUAACGCGUGAGAAUCUGCCUUGGGGUCGGGGACAACCACUGGAAACGGUGGCUAAUACCGGAUACGCCUUCGGGUAAAAGAUUUAUUGCCCUAAGAGGAGCUCGCGUCUGAUUAGCUAGUUGGUGAGGUAAGAGCUCACCAAGGCAGCGAUCAGUAGCUGGUCUGAGAGGACGAUCAGCCACACUGGGACUGAGACACGGCCCAGACUCCUACGGGAGGCAGCAGUGGGGAAUUUUCCGCAAUGGGCGAAAGCCUGACGGAGCAAGACCGCGUGAGGGAGGAAGGCUCUUGGGUUGUAAACCUCUUUUCUCAGGGAAGAAGAUCUGACGGUACCUGAGGAAUCAGCCUCGGCUAACUCCGUGCCAGCAGCCGCGGUAAUACGGAGGAGGCAAGCGUUAUCCGGAAUUAUUGGGCGUAAAGCGUCCGCAGGUGGCGAUUCAAGUCUGCUGUCAAAGCACGGGGCUUAACUCCGUAAAGGCAGUGGAAACUGAAUAGCUAGAGUGCCGUAGGGGUAGAGGGAAUUCCCGGUGUAGCGGUGAAAUGCGUAGAGAUCGGGAAGAACAUCGGUGGCGAAAGCGCUCUACUGGACGGCAACUGACACUCAGGGACGAAAGCUAGGGGAGCGAAUGGGAUUAGAUACCCC